rnacentral:sRNA from 1 species
UUGUUUUGUUUUUCUUCUU